rnacentral:rRNA from 1 species
AUGGUGUGCGGUGCGAAAUGGUCACGAUAGCGUUGCGGUAGUGGCUAUAACGGAGGCCUCUCCUGCUCUCUCCUCUCGACCGGUAAGUGAGGUGGUGGUGGUGCCCAGGUAGGGACCGGCGAGACAAGGGUGGCACUAGGUCGUUGCCAGCAACGGCUACGUGGUGGGGGCCGAGGAGAGAGUAGAGAAGAAGGGGCUGCGGGGUAAGAGAACGAGCUCGAGGAGCGGCUGAAAUGGCUAGCAACCGGAGACUAGAUCCCAAGCGACGACGGCCAGCGGUGAGUGGACGCAGAGGCCUCCUUUGCCGAGGGACAUGGAAUAGGAAGAAGUUUAAGAUGGGAGAUGUCUACUCCUUGCGGAGCUACCGACAGAGAAGGCAAAGAGGAAAGAGAGGGAGGAACGUUAUGUGGCCGGUACUAAGACCCUACCUCUUCCCUCACCCCAUCUCGGUGGUAUAGUUCUCCAUCUCACUUCCUCGGUGCGAACUCUUGAACCGCACUCAAUGAAACCAGGUCGCCGAUGCUUACAAGGAAAAAAUGAAGUCUUAAUAUUUUAUUACAACGGUUUGUUAGAAAGUUCCAUAAAUGACAACAGCAAAGAGAGACAUCGACCUUUAACGAGAAAACCCUAGACAAGAUACGGAUGGAUAAUAGUUCGGUCAUCUUACCCCACCCAAUCUACACUAAUAAACGUCCCCUAACUUUAACUUCCGUAGUCAACCUGUUAUUUAUACGUAGUGAAGUAUAGUAACACUAAAACGUGGAGUGGUAGAAAAACUUUAUUUCAAAUUAAAUUAGUUCAAGUUGAGAUAGUAGGUGUUGACAGUUGUACAAGGUAUAAAUCAACAGACGAACUUAGACUAAGAAAAAAGACCAUCCACGUUUUUAUCAUACUAUAGGGAUGACUAUACAUACUUAUAUGUCUACUUUGUGCAUAAAUGUACAGAUCAAAAAGGUCUAAACAGUGUGAGCUACCUUUGACCUUCGUAGUGAGAGGAACCAACUUUAGUGUCACCAGUCUAAUAUCUAGUGUUCGACAUCUGCUUAACAAAGAAGACUAAAAGGUUAGAAGUCCAAUACCCAGUAAAGGGGAAACGUUCUUAAUUAAAUACACCGAGGUAAAAACAAGUAAGGUUCCAGUUCCCCUUUCUUUUAAAAGUUUCCGUCACUACAAAAGUAAUGUUUAGACUUAUAGUCAACUAAUUUAGGCUUCAAUCGUAAAAGAAAGGUACAGGUAGAGAAUUCUAAGAACACAAACCUAUGUUAUUCUGGAGUUCAUCGAAUAUAUACGUAUAUGCGGUACAAUGUAUGAGGUAAAUCACCGAUUAUAUUUCGAAGAAUAUGAUGUCUCGAAGAUCUCUCUCGUUUCUAUUUACGUCACUAGAAUGAUUUUUUUCUAUUUUCCUCACUAUAAGAAUAUGAUAUCUUGAAGAUCUCACUUGUUUCUAUUUACCUCACUAUAAGAAUAUGAUGUUUUGAAAAAUACAUGAGGUAAAACCAAUACGACCGGAGUGAAUUAACGAAACGUCUAACUUGACUGGUUAGGCACACUAACUCCUUAGGAACACCUCUUUUUCUUAAAUGGCUUUUUCCGAAAGCGGGGCGAAAUAUAAUAUUUCGUUGACGGGUUCGGUUUGUAGGUUGUUUCAAGUUUGUGUGUGUGUGUGUUUCCAGAUCAUGUCUGUCCAUCAAUUUCCCAAUUACGACUCCCGUGUCGAGUUGUUCGGGACUUUUUUGUUUUUUCGUGCGUGUGCACCCCACGCCGUCUC